rnacentral:tRNA from 1 species
GGGGACAUGGCGCAACGGCUAGCGCAAUCGACUCCAGAUCGAUAGGUUGGGAGUUCGAAUCUCUCUGUCCUCA